rnacentral:rRNA from 1 species
UACGGAGGGCGCAAGCGUUGUUCGGAAUCACUGGGCGUAAAGCGCGUGUAGGCGGCCGGGCAAGUCGGAUGUGAAAUCCCGAGGCUCAACCUCGGAACUGCAUUCGAAACUGCUCGGCUCGAGUCCCGGAGAGGAUGGCGGAAUUCCCGGUGUAGGGGUGAAAUCCGUAGAUAUCGGGAGGAACUCCUGUAGCGAAAGCGAAUGACUGGGACGUAACUGACGCUGAGAGACGAAAGCGUGGGUAGCAAAAAGG